rnacentral:tRNA from 1 species
AAUGGAAUGCCUGAUAAAAAGGGUUAUCUUGAUAGGGUAAAUAAUGCAUUAUAUGCUUCCAUUA